AAUUGACCUCGGAUCAGGUAGGGAUACCCGCUGAACUUAAGCAUAUCAAUAAGCGGAGGAAAAGAAACCAACAGGGAUUGCCUCAGUAACGGCGAGUGAAGCGGCAACAGCUCAAAUUUGAAAUCUGGCUCCUCCGGGGGCCCGAGUUGUAAUUUGUAGAGGAUGUUUCGAGUGCGGCGCCGGUCGAAGUCCCUUGGAACAGGGUGUCACAGAGGGUGAGAAUCCCGUACGUGGCCGGCGACCAAGCUCACGUGAAACUCCUUCGACGAGUCGAGUUGUUUGGGAAUGCAGCUCAAAAUGGGUGGUAAAUUUCAUCUAAAGCUAAAUACCGGCCAGAGACCGAUAGCGCACAAGUAGAGUGAUCGAAAGAUGAAAAGCACUUUGGAAAGAGAGUUAAAAAGUACGUGAAAUUGUUGAAAGGGAAGCGCUUGCGACCAGACCUGCCCGUGGGUGCUCAGCGGCGGUUCUCCGCCGUGUACUCGCCCUCGAUCAGGCCAGCAUCGGUUCCGGCGACCGGAUAAAGGCCCGAGGAAUGUGGCUCCCCUCGGGGAGUGUUAUAGCCUCGGGUGACAUACGGCCAGCUGGGACCGAGGACCGCGCUUCGGCAAGGAUGCUGGCGUAAUGGUUGUAAGCGACCCGUCUUGAAACACGGACCAAGGAGUCUAACAUCUAUGCGAGUGUUUGGGUGUCAAACCCAUGCGCGCAAUGAAAGUGAACGAUGGUCAGAGCCUCCGGGUGCAUGAUCGACCGAUCUUGAAGUUUACGGAUGGAUUUGAGUAUGAGCAUAGCUGUUGGGACCCGAAAGAUGGUGAACUAUUCCUGAAUAGGGUGAAGCCAGAGGAAACUCUGGUGGAGGCUCGCAGCGGUUCUGACGUGCAAAUCGAUCGUCAAAUUUGGGUAUAGGGGCGAAAGACUAAUCGAAUCAUCUAGUAGCUGGUUCCUGCCGAAGUUUCCCUCAGGAUAGCAGUAACGUUUUCAGUUUUAUGAGGUAAAGCGAAUGAUUAGGAGCCUAGGGGAUGUAACAUCCUCUACUCAUUCUCAAACUUUAAAUAUGUAAGAAGUCCUUGUUACUUUAUUGAACGUGGACAUUUGAAUGC
rnacentral:rRNA from 1 species